rnacentral:piRNA from 1 species
UCUGUGAUUAUCUGAUGGUACUUUGCAA